rnacentral:rRNA from 1 species
UACGUAGGGUGCAAGCGUUGUCCGGAAUUAUUGGGCGUAAAGAGCUCGUAGGCGGUCUGUUGCGUCGGCUGUGAAAACCCGGGGCUCAACCCCGGGCCUGCAGCCGAUACGGGCAGACUAGAGUUCGGCAGGGGAGACUGGAAUUCCUGGUGUAGCGGUGAAAUGCGCAGAUAUCAGGAGGAACACCGGUGGCGAAGGCGGGUCUCUGGGCCGAUACUGACGCUGAGAAGCGAAAGCAUGGGGAGCGAACAGG